GAUGAACGCUGGCGGCGUGCCUAAUACAUGCAAGUCGAGCGAACAGAUGAGGAGCUUGCUCCUCUGACGUUAGCGGCGGACGGGUGAGUAACACGUGGAUAACCUACCUAUAAGACUGGGAUAACUUCGGGAAACCGGAGCUAAUACCGGAUAAUAUAUUGAACCGCAUGGUUCAAUAGUGAAAGACGGUUUUGCUGUCACUUAUAGAUGGAUCCGCGCCGCAUUAGCUAGUUGGUAAGGUAACGGCUUACCAAGGCGACGAUGCGUAGCCGACCUGAGAGGGCGAUCGGCCACACUGGAACUGAGACACGGUCCAGACUCCUACGGGAGGCAGCAGUAGGGAAUCUUCCGCAAUGGGCGAAAGCCUGACGGAGCAACGCCGCGUGAGUGAUGAAGGUCUUCGGAUCGUAAAACUCUGUUAUUAGGGAAGAACAAAUGUGUAAGUAACUAUGCACGUCUUGACGGUACCUAAUCAGAAAGCCACGGCUAACUACGUG
rnacentral:rRNA from 1 species